AUGCUUGUUUCAGUAGCAUGUACACUAAAAUUAGAAUAAUACGAAGAUUCGCAUGUCACCUGUGCAAGAAUGAUAUCCAAAUUCAUGGUCUUCCAUAUUUUU